rnacentral:rRNA from 1 species
UGGGGAAUAUUGGACAAUGGGGGCAACCCUGAUCCAGCGAUGCCGCGUGUGCGAAGAAGGCCUGCGGGUUGUAAAGCACUUUAGUUGGGGAAGAAGAGGGUUGACUCGAAUAGGGUUGAUCAGUGACGUUACCCAAAGAAUAAGCACCGGCUAACUAUGUGCCAGCAGCCGCGGUAAUACAUAGGGUGCAAGCGUUGUCCGGAAUUAUUGGGCGUAAAGAGCUCGUAGGUGGUUCGUCGCGUCGGAUGUGAAAAUCUGGGGCUUAACCCCAGACCCGCAUUCGAUACGGGCGAGCUAGAGUGUGGUAGGGGAGACUGGAAUUCCUGGUGUAGCGGUGGAAUGCGCAGAUAUCAGGAGGAACACCAAUGGCGAAGGCAGGUCUCUGGGCCAUUACUGACACUGAGGAGCGAAAGCGUGGGGAGCGAACAGG